UCUUGGCCUCUGGUUGGAGGGGAGCCUCUCCUUGCCCCAGGCUAUGGCGCCUCUUCUGGCUGCACCCACAAUGCAGCACAGCCUUCGUGGCCAGCCAAGGCCCAGGUGCCCCCUCAGGAGCAGGAGUCUUGUGGGGGGUGAGCACUGGCCUCCCUUCCUCAGCUUCCCUUCCUCAGCCUCCCUCCCUCAACCUCCCUUCCACAGCCUCCCUUCCUCAGCCUCCCUUCCUCAGCCUCCCUUCCACAGCCUCCCUUCCACAGCCUCCCUUCUACAGCCUCCCUUCUACAGCCUCUGUUCCUCAGCCCAGACUUCUCCAGACAGUGAAGGAAUAAGAAGCACAAACUGUGGACCACAAGGACCACCAAGAGGUCACAGCAGCUGGAACCGUCGUGCCUUCCUGGGGAGUGGGAGGACGGGGUCUGUGGGACCUGCUGUGGCCCGGCCCCUGGUUCCGGCGGCCGCACCCUGGCCUGGUCCUCAUCUCCCUGACAUAUGCCCCGUCCCCCCCAACCACCCGUCUUUUGCUGGCUCCGGCACAAGCUGCGGGAGCUGGGCCACGGCUGGGUCUGCGGGCGCCUGGCCCCGGUCGUCGUCCAACACCCAGCCAAGGACCGGGGCUCCCGUCCACCGGUGCAGGGCAGCGGGGGGCCAAGAGGUGGGCGGAGAGGACGGGCGGCUGCCGGGACCUGGCGGGGAACUGACGUGGGGUUCUGUGGACGUCUGUGGACGGGAGGAACCCCUGUCCCCGCCACCGCUGCUCGGGCAAGGUAGGGGCCUUGUCCCCACUGGCCACAAGUCUGGUGGCCCCGGAAGAGACAGCUCCACUGCUCAUUAGGACACUCCGCUGGCCCCACCCACCUCCCCACAAACCCCACCCAUGGCAUCAGGCCACCCAGCGGCUCUCUGGGGCUGCUCAGGCCUCAGGCUCCUCGUCCAUGAAGUGGGCACGAGGUUACCCCGACCUCUCGGGGCGCUAGAGAACAGCGCCUCGUGCCUCCCACGGGCUCAGGAGGUGCCGCUGUGGUCCUAUUGUCACUUCCAUGGGCACGUCACCGCCACCUGGGCCGGCUCUCAGGGGGCUCAGCCUUGAAUGUGGAGGGACAAGGAGUCACAGGCCCCCAGACCAUCAGGGAGAGCCGCCUGGGCCACUGCUGCCCCCUGCUGCCGGGCACUGGAACUGGCCGAUGGCGGAGGAAGUGGCGGCGGCUCUGUGCUGGCCAGGGGCAGGGGGUGCUGCGGAGCUUGUACGUGUGGGGGACCCGACUGGCAGUCGUCGUGGAGACCUGAGUGACUGUGCUCAUCAAUGUUAAGAGCUGUUGUGUGACUUUCCCGCGGUAUGGAAUGAUCUGCUGUGUGAUGUUGGGACGCAUAGAGUAUCCCCCCAAACCUAUGAAAUCUCACUGAACAAAGGACCAGGACUCACUCCCUGGGACCGCUGCGACGGGAACGGUUGUGAGUCCAGGCUGGAGCUUGCAAUAAAGACUCUUGUGUGAUGGCAUCGGAUUCGGCUCCUGGAGGUCUACUGGGGUCCCACGAAUCUGGCAUAACAUCUGGGGGCUUAUCCUGGAUUCCCCAGACCCCAGGAUCCCCGAACCAGAGAGUCUAACACCGAAGCACCCAUCCCCAGAUGACUUUACAACCUGUUCUUCCCCAACCAGACUUCAAACCCAACUGACUUCUAAAAGGGAACUCACGUCCCCCACAUCGUUGAGCCCCCUCAGGUUCGACGCCUCCUCUCAGCUCCGAAGCAGCCAGAACGAGCCGUCGCCCCUUCUCCUUACAUCAAUAAGGAGUUCCUAAAAUUAGAGGGGGAAAUGAAGCCAGAAAUAGAUAGACAGUGUAGAUAGGUAAUCGAGUCAGGAGGCCAAUUUUGAGUGAGUCUGGGACGUUGAGGACUGUCCCCUGAGGGUUAGUGUUUACUCUAAAAUUACCCUAGUGUCAACCUUAGUAGGACCACUCAUGAACAAGCUAGUGGCUUUCAUCAAGGACAGAGUCAACACAGUUCAGAUGUUGGUUCUGCGUACCCACUAUCAAGCCCUAGACCCAGGAGAAUCCUACUAAGAUGUAGGGCCUGCCCAAAUAGACCCCCAACUGAGGGAACCCUGAUUGGUCCCCAAGUUUCCAGACAAAGGGGGAAUGAGAAACUGAUGUGACUCCAUUUUUUAAAAUAAAUAACAGCAGCUUCUACCUCAAGGCCUGUCCUAAGGAAGGGGGCGUGACCCUUGUCCUGGGAAAAACCCACAGAGCACUCCUA